UACACUCAAACAUGCACACACAUACACACUGUCCAAAAAGUGAAAUCUCUCAGUUUUAUAGAUUUGAGUCCUUGACCAAAGACUGAAAGAGUAGUGAAGCCACAUCUUUGCCUUUGUUACACAUAAUGAUAAUGUUCCCCCUGAUACCUUUUACCGGCACUUAGUUCCUUACGUGCUUCUGAAAGUAAAACUGAUGGGAAGUCUUUUAUAUCUGUUAGAUUAGCAAAGAUCAAAGACUUGAUAAUAUACAGUGUUGUGAGGGUGUAGGGAAACAGUACUCUCACACAUUGUGAACAUCAUCCUAACCAUUUUGGAGGACGUUUUGGCAAUAUCUUAAAAUUUUUUAAGUCCACAUGAUCUUUGACUUAGGAAUUUCAGUUCUAAGAGUUCAUAUAUAUAUAUAUGCUUUUAGUUGUGCAAAAAGAUAUUUAUACAGAGACAGUUCAUUGCAGCUUUGUUGUAGUAGACAAAGAUAUGAAACAAGCUAAUGUCCACUAAGCAGAGUGGAUAAGUAAAUCAUGAUACAUGCGUAAAAUGAGUGGAGUAUUGUAUGUUUCAGAAUAGGCAUGACUGAUGUAUAUGUGUAUUAAUGUGGGUCAGUCUCCAUGAUAUAACACUGAGCAAGAAAAGCAAGAUACAGGACACUAUGUAUUAUGUGCAUAAAAUAGCUCUGAAAAGAUGGGCCAGGCGCAGUGUCUCAUGCCUGUAAUCCCAGCACUUUGGGAGGCCAAGGCAGGCGGAUCACGAGGUCAGGAGAUCAAGACCAUCCUGGCUAACACGGUGAAACCCCGUCUCUACUAAAAAUACAAAAAAUUAGCUGGGCGUGGUGGCGGGUGCCUAUAGUCCCAGCUACUCGGAAAGCUGAGGCAGGAGAAUGGUUUGAACUCAGGAGGCGGAGCUUGCAGUAAGCUGAGAUCGAGCCACUACACUCCAACUCCAGCCUGGGCAACAGAGCAGGACACCAUCUCAAAAAAAAAAAAGUGGUGGGAGAGCAUAGAAUGAAUAUAAUACAGCAGAAGGUUUGUGUAGAUACUUUCUGGUUAGGAAUGAGAAUGCGCUUCUGGUCUGAGUACCAGCCUGCAUUUCUCUGUGUCAUGUCCUUCCUCAGGUAUUUGAGUACAGCAUCCCAGACAAACAGUAUACAGAUUGGAGCCGGACUGUCCAGAAGCAGGGCUUUCACCACCUUUGGCUCCAAAGGGAUACUCCUAUCACACACAUCAGUUUUCAUCCCAAGAGACCGAUGCACAUCCUUCUCCAUGAUGCCUACAUGUUCUGCAUCAUUGACAAGUCAUUGCCCCUUCCAAAUGACAAAACCUUACUGUACAAUCCAUUUCCUCCCACGAAUGAAUCAGAUGUCGUCCGGAGGCGCACAGCUCAUGCUUUUAAAAUUUCUAAGAUAUAUAAGCCUCUACUCUUCAUGGAUCUUUUGGAUGAAAGAACACUCGUGGCAGUGGAACGGCCUCUGGAUGACAUCAUUGCUCAGCUCCCACCACCCAUUAAAAAGAAGAAAUUUGGAACCUAAAACAGGGCACUGUCUGUGUCCUUCCUUGAACUGUCUACCCUGUCGCUUUUCACAAAUCAUGGUAAUAAAAGAAGUUAUUCUUGAGGACUAGGCAUUAUAAAUGUUUUCUUCCAAGAUAAUGGACAGUCAUUUCUCUUCAUUGAAUGAAAGUGAAUGGAAACUCCAAAUGAGGUAUUUGUAUUUGGGAUAAUGUGCUGAGUAGCUGCAAACUCAUCUAAUGUUGAUAGGGUCCUGCUUAUUCUGUAGGCAAUCUCAGAAGAAAAGAUACUUGUGUUCUGUUCUCUAUUACAUGCCUAAGGCUUCAGAGGGCUGAUGGCCUUCACUUCCUGCCAGCCCCUAGCCUAAGCAACAGCAUGGAAUCUGCCCCUCCUCGCCCUGGAGGGCAGAGGACCGUAAUUACUUACUCA
rnacentral:lncRNA from 1 species